ensembl:lncRNA zinc finger protein 652-like
UUUUAUUCACGAGGGUGCGCGCGCAUCUUGGCAACGGAAGUCGUAUGAUUGUUGUUGCCGGUAACUUCCUCAGCCGAAGAUAAACAACUGGAUCCAAAACAGUUGUAGAGUAAAGAAGAGAAACAUGUCCGCCUGCUGCGUGUCUGGCUGUAAACACAUUCCUCCAGCAGCAAACUGAAGUUCUUCAGAAUCCCGUUUCAGACGAACCGGAGACGUUUCCGGCAGCCGCGAGGAGAUCCGAAGAAACGCUCGUGUUUGUGGCGCUCAUUUUAUCUCACAAGAAGCGUCCAUGGAGCACGAGAGUCCGGACUUUGUGCCUUCUGUGUUUCUAAGCACUAAACACCGUCCGAAGAGAAAAGUGAAACGAUCAAAUUCUUCUCGUAGAAAAAGACGUUGCCGUGCAGCCGAUGUGGAAACGGAAGAAAAGAUGAGUCCGUCUCGAGGGGAUUGUCCCGCGGACCUCCCGUCCUCUGCUGGGGCGCAGGAACAGACUCCAUCAGUGCUGAAGGAAGGAGAAACGUCGCCUGAAGAGGCCGAGUCCAGCACGGACAGAGCGUCACCAGUCAAAGCUCCGGCCCGCUCCCUGCACCUGCACAAAAUGAUUCCCGUCGUGCUGCUGAAACAUGUGUUUGUAUCAGCAGGAGGGUUUAAGUGUGAGAAGUGCAAUCAGAACUUCCCCAACAUACCACAGCUAAUGAAACACAAGCAGCUGCAUGAAGAGGAAGAAGCAGCAGCAGCAGAAGAAGAAGAAGAAGAAGAAGCAGCAGCAGAAGAAGAAGAUGCAGAAGAAGAAGAAGAAGAAGAAGAAGAAGCAGCAGCAGAAGAAGAAGAUGCAGAAGAAGAAGGCGGCUCCUUAGUCUGUGAAAUGUGUGGAAAGCUUUUCCCGGGUCGGGCUCGUCUCUCCGAUCACCGCUGUCCGUCUUCCUUCUCGUGCAACAUGUGUGAUCGAACCUUCGUCACGAGUCGGAACCUCAAGCGUCAUAAACUGCAGCACGUCAAAGACGGCAGGAAGUGCCCAAAGUGCGGCGUCCUGUUCUGUAAACGUCACAAUCACAUUUUAUUCCUGCCACAGGCCGAUUCCAUCACCGAGUAUGAAGAUGACUCCAUUGAGCCGAGCCGGCCCCCCCGAACCCCCCGAACCCCCCCUCCGGCCUCACACACGGGCAUCUUCUCAGGGAUCCCUGCGCCGCUAACAGCUCCCGCUGUGUCACGUCUCCCCCCGCCUGUCCCCAGGUGUAAGAACGCCUCGUCUCAGUUUAAGUGCCCCCCGUACGUCUGUCCUGCAGCCUUCUUGCAGCCCCUCCCCCCCCAACACCCAGAGCUCCCGCCCUCACUGAAGCUCUUUUCACCACAGCACCUCACCUCGGCGUUACUCGAGGUUAAAAGGAAUUCCGAAUACAUUUUCAGCAAACAGAGAGCUGUGAAGCAGGAACCGUGUGAGCUGCCGCUGGUUCCUCCAGACGAGCAGACGGUGACGCACGGCCGACGGGAGAGGACGGCGUACGACCUGGAGAUUGUGAUCUGAUCCUUUAGUGGCGUUCGAUUGUACGUGUUGCUGCACGACGUUGGAAAUGUUCCGAUUUGUCUUGAACGCAGCAUCAAAGCAAGACUUGUGCUCAUGAAGCGAACAGAACCUCCGUCACACGUCGAUGCACGUCGGCAUCGUUCUGCCGCACGCGGAGCAGGAAGUGGCGCCGUUUGGCUGCACGCGGAUGUUUAAUGCUGCUACUUUUAUUAGUAAGAGUGUGUUUGGUAAAUAACACUGUGAAUCUGAAUAAUCUGAAACUGAUUUUAAUAUCUUGACACUUCUGUCGGGUAAUAACCGCUGAAGUCUGCGAGUUGAUGCACACGGCGGUGAAUGAUCUACCUCAGUGUUUGUUGUGUUUGUUUCACCGUGCAUACACGGUCACCUGCCGCAGCAGAGACGCACGCCAUGGAUUUAUACUGCAUGAGAAACUGCACGGGUGUCUUCCUCUGGUGGAGCGUGCUGAUACAUUGUGCAUCCUUAGUUUUACUCCAGUUUCUUUGAGACGCUUCCUGUAGCGGCUGCUGACCCCUGAGACAUAAUGUUCACGACUCUAAAGCUGCAGCCUUUAAAACAUUUGACUAACAUUUCAUCUCUUGCAGGAAAUCUUAGUGACAGUCGACGGAUGAUUUUAUAACGAUGAAUGUUUUCUUUGCCUCGUCAUCCUCACUGUUUAUCACUGACAUUAAAACCAAAUGUAAUCCUGAAGAUACGAGAUAAAGAGAUCACAUCUACACAUCUGAGCUGCAUGUGUCCAUACGAGUCUCACUGAAAGGUCUGUGUGUGCAGCGUGCAUUAAAGAGAGCUGUCACUGAAUCUGUAGAAGAAGAAGGAGGAGAAGGAGGAGAAGAAGAAGGAGGAGAAGAAGGAGAAGAAGAACUCGACCAUAGUGAAUGUUUGACUAUUUAUAAACUCAUGAGUUGCAGUUGCAGGUAUUUAAGAGAACUAAUAUUGAAAUAAUAAAGAUAUGUUAAUAAGACAUAUAAUAUGUUAGAUUCAGGGCCUCGCACACAAAUUACUGUAAAUUUGCCAAAAGAAAAACAAAACGCACAAACAGUUAAAGAUUAAUGUCACUAAUGUGUAGAUAUUGUGAUAAUGUCGUGACUCGUUAUAACUUUAGAGGAUGCUGUUUGCUGACAUUACACAACAUUACAGUUUAACUCACUGAACACAGCUUUGAGUCGAACUAUAAUAUAUCUUAGAACCUUGACUUACACACACACACACACACACACACACCAUCCCUCAUCCCUCCAGAUGCGGGUCUUCUGUCUGCACGCUGUACACAUCCCAUUGGUCAGGAGGCACGAGCGAGGAUUCUGAUAGGCGGAGCCGGCUGUCACUUAGAGCCGACGACAGCGCUGAUUGGCUGGCGUGCCCGCACUUAAGGCAGCCGAUUGGUCGACGGGUAUCCUUGUGGCUGCCUGGAGAUGACAGGCCAGUGGUGCUGAUGCUGUGACAAUGGGAGUCAUCCAGAAGAUCAGCAUCAUCUGGACCGAGCGUGCUUAACACCGCGGCGGCACGCGCACAGCUCGCUGCACCGGGACGGGGACGCAGCUGUGAGGAAACACGCGCAGGAAGCUGCGGCUGCUGCUCCGACAAGGGUAAGUGUACCCCCCUGGAAAACAAACUGACAUGCCCGCGGGGCGUCCAGCUAGCUGUCCGUGACGCGGGGGGGCUGGGGAGAGCCGCUCUCCAGUACGCGUUAGCAGGACUGACUCCCGCUGCCGGCCAGGUGAACACAAGGUGAACAUGAUGCAGCUGUGAGUCAACUCAUCACCUCGGCCGACUGCAUUGCGGAGAGAGCCGUGCACACUAUCCCGCACACUGCCCUGUGCAGCAGUCCUCCAUACACCGAAGCGGCGCAGAAUAAUUCAGCACGGUGUUGUGCACGGUGUGCACGUGCAGAUGUUGUUGUACACGUGCAGCUGGAUGCAUGUGUUGCACAAUGAAGACGAUGUUUACUAUAUAUUUACCAAAACGUAAAUCAUCAGCAAAACUUUGACAGCCAUUGCAUUGCAUGGGUUUGCACA